UACAGAGGGUGCAAGCGUUGUUCGGAAUUAUUGGGCGUAAAGCGCGUGUAGGCGGCAAGGUAAGUCGAGUGUGAAAUCCCUCAGCUCAACUGAGGAAGUGCGCCCGAAACUGCCCUGCUUGAGUGCCGGAGAGGAUGGCGGAAUUCCCCAAGUAGAGGUGAAAUUCGUAGAUAUGGGGAGGAACACCGGUGGCGAAGGCGGCCAUCUGGACGGCAACUGACGCUGAGACGCGAAAGCGUGGGUAGCAAACAGG
rnacentral:rRNA from 1 species